rnacentral:rRNA from 1 species
AGUGAACGCUGGCGGUAGGCCUAACACAUGCAAGUCGAACGGCAGCACAGUAAGAGCUUGCUCUUACGGGUGGCGAGUGGCGGACGGGUGAGGAAUACAUCGGAAUCUACUUUUUCGUGGGGGAUAACGUAGGGAAACUUACGCUAAUACCGCAUACGACCUACGGGUGAAAGCAGGGGAUCUUCGGAUCUUGCGCGAUUGUAUGAGCCGAUGUCGGAUUAGUUAGUUGGCGGGGUACAGGCCCACCAAGGCGACGAUCCGUAGCUGGUCUGAGAGGAUGAUCAGCCACACUGGAACUGAGACACGGUCCAGACUCCUACGGGAGGCAGCAGUGGGGAAUAUUGGACAAUGGGCGCAAGCCUGAUCCAGCCAUACCGCGUGGGUGAAGAAGGCCUUCGGGUUGUAAAGCCCUUUUGUUGGGAAAGAAAAGCAGCAGGUUAAUACCCCGCUGUUCUGACGGUACCCAAAGAAUAAGCACCGGCUAACUUCGUG